CCGACUCCUACGGGAGGCAGCAGUUAAGAAUAUUCCGCAAUGGACGAAAGUCUGACGGAGCGACGCCGCGUGGAUGAAGAAUGCCGAAAGGUUGUAAAAUCCUUUUAAGCCUGAGGAAUAAGCACAGUAGGGAAUGAUUGUGUGGUGACUGUAGGGCUUGAAUAAGCACCGGCAAAUUACGUGCCAGCAGCCGCGGUAACACGUAAGGUGCGAGCGUUGUUCGGAAUUAUUGGGCGUAAAGGGCAUGUAGGCGGAUGAGCAAGCUUGGUGUGAAAUGCUACAGCUUAACUGUGGGACAGCAUUGAGAACUGCACAUCUUGAAUUACUGAAGGGUAACUAGAAUUCCACGUGUAGGGGUGAAAUCUGUAGAUAUGUGGAAGAAUACCAAUGGCGAAGGCAAGUUACCGGCAGAUAAUUGACGCUGAGGUGCGAAAGUGCGGGGAGCGAACAGGAUUAGAUACCCUGGUAGUCCGCACAGUAAACGAUGUACACUAGGUGUCUGGCAACAAAGCUGGGUGCCAAAGCAAACGUGGUAAGUGUACCGCCUGGGGAGUAUGCCCGCAAGGGUGAAACUCAAAGGAAUUGACGGGGGCCCGCACAAG
rnacentral:rRNA from 1 species